rnacentral:rRNA from 1 species
GACGAACGCUGGCGGCGUGCCUAAUACAUGCAAGUAGAACGCUGAAGGAGGAGCUUGCUUCUCUGGAUGAGUUGCGAACGGGUGAGUAACGCGUAGGUAACCUGCCUGGUAGCGGGGGAUAACUAUUGGAAACGAUAGCUAAUACCGCAUAAGAGUAGAUGUCGCAUGACAUUUGCUUAAAAGGUGCAAUUGCAUCACUACCAGAUGGACCUGCGUUGUAUUAGCUAGUUGGUGAGGUAACGGCUCACCAAGGCAACGAUACAUAGCCGACCUGAGAGGGUGAUCGGCCACACUGGGACUGAGCCACGGCCCAGACUCCUACGGGAGGCAGCAGUAGGGAAUCUUCGGCCAUGGACGGAAGUCUGACCGGGCAACGCCGCGUGAGUGAAGAAGGUUUUCGGGUCGUAAAGCUCUGUUGUAAGCGAAGAACGAGGGUGAGAGUGGAAAGUUCACACUGUGACGGUAUCUUACCAGAAAGGGACGGCUAACUACGUG